rnacentral:lncRNA from 10 species
AUCUGAUACAGAUUAGCUUGAAGGGGGAAGAAAAACUUUUUCAGGUGAUGUUUGUCUGCUAAAAGGACGCUGGUCUUUCUAAGAAAGAAGCAGAAUGAGUUUAUUUUUAAAGUGAACUUGAUGGGGGGAAGGAGAAGCAAAGGCAUAUAAACAAUAUAGCAAUGACCCAAGACAUAGACAAGACUGACCAAUGGAAAAAGGAAACCACAAAGAUCUAAAAGAAUACAAAAAAAGAUAUUGGUGCUGCAAAUUUAUUUUAAAUGGAGGCAGGCUGGCUUUUUACUAAAAGAUGAAGAAAAGGAACCAAUUAAAAUAGAAACUUCUUCCCAGGUAGAAUCAGAAAUAAAGC